GUUAUGGGCCUUAAUAUCCUAAAGGUACCAGAUCCUGUCUGCUCUUGGAAGCUGAGCAAGGCCAUGGUUGGUUAAUACUUGGAUGGGAGACUGCCAAAGAAUGCCAGAUGUUGCAGGCG
rnacentral:rRNA from 1 species